GGUAAACACUUUUUAUAAGUUAAUGGCCAACACAUUUAUUAUAGCAUCUGCUAUUACAAACCCCAGGGAUUUUGUGGUUAAUUUUUGUUAGACAGGGUAUAUUCAGCCCUGGCUGUUCCAGAACUCGGUAUGUACACUAGGUCGGCCUUGAAUUCACAAAGGUCUUUCGAGGCUCUGCCUCUGAGUGCUGGCAUUAAGAGACUGCCACCACACCCAGCUGGAAGGUUUAAAGAUGUAGCAGGGUGCUUUGUGAAACAGCAUAAGCUUUGUGCUAAAAACACAUCUAAAAAUCGUACAAAUGCGGCUGAAAUAGGAGAAUGCCUAUGGAUGAGCUCAAGAGCUUGCUGUGGGCACCUCCUUCCCACCCUACUAUCCAGGAAUCUAUUGGAAGAGGAAAUGAACAUCUUUUGGUGGGAAAGGUAACCUUGAAGCAUUCUGGUAAAUGAAUGAGUGACUUGAAUCAUUAUUUCAAGCUAACAAAACUGUUAUUAUUACAGCCGCUGCCACCAACAGGAGCAUUCUGCACGAAGGUCAGAUAGUGAGGGCUCAGUCUACCGUGAAGAAGAAUCCUUUCAGGGCUGGCUCACUGCUCAGUGGGUGAGCACUUGCCCAACAUGUGCAAGGCUCAGACUUCAGUGGCCAGCAUUGAGGAAGAAGCAGUGGAACACAAAAACCAAAACAACAAAAAGUGAGCAAACUUUUAAGUCAGAUACGUUCACCUGAUGCCCAUGCUUUUCCUUUCUGUCUCACGUUUGUGUGAUUGCAGGGUUCAUGAACUGGUGUCCACUUCUCUGAACAUUAAAUUCUUCAGAUGUAUACAUCUACUUUCUCCUUCCACUACUUACACACUCCAAUUUUAUAACAAGAGAGUAAUUAGUAAUACACAAGCCCUUUCCUCAUGUUCAGCGAGCGGGCUGCAUGUGUCACUCCAGGGUACUGUACUUCCUUCCUUUCAUGCCCCCCCCCCCGCCCUUUACACACACAGGUUUUGUUGGAACUACUUAUUGCAUUUGUGUGUGUGUGUGUGUGUGUGUGUGUGUGUGUGUGUGCAUGUGCUCAUGUGCUUUAGCGCAUGCAUACAUGCCAUAGCACAUGUGUGGAGGUCAAAGAUCAGCCCAGGAGUCAAUUCUCUCCUACCAUGUGGGCCCUCCCCUGGUGAAGGAUCUCAGAUUGUCAAGCUUGGAAGUAAGCACAUUUAUCUGCUGGCCCAUCUUAUCAUGGUAGAAGCAUUUAAAGUUAAUAUAUUUUUAUAUUUCUUCCUUAUGUGCCUCUAUGAGAUCAUCCCAGGAACGAUAUCGUCCUCUGAAACUAUGCAUGAUUGGUAAAUCAAAAGAAAUUAAACAGCGUUACGUGCAUGUAAUUCAUAUACUAUAGUCUGUGUUCACUCUGCUCGAAACUGCACACUAUAGUCCUGUUUGUGCUCUCUUCGAGACAGGGUCACAUGCAGCUGAGGCUGGCCUCAAACUCCCAAUGUGGUUAAGGCUAAUGCUGGGCUCCUGGUCUUCCUGCCUCUACAUUCUAUGUGCUGGCAUAUGCCGACAUCAGUCUCCCUUAAUUGUUCUCAAUCACAUAACAUCCCUCCUCUUUAGGUCCAGGACCUAGAGAAGAACUGCUCAUUCUGUGUAAGAAUGUAUCCUUCACUAUUUUUAUCUAACCCAGCACCCACCUACCUCUGUCCCUACCCCAGUGCAGCUUUUCUUCAUAAUACCAACUGCCUCGAAGGCUGCUGCAUAUACUCGCCUCAUCUCCUGUCCUUCCAUGUCAUCAUAAUGAGAUGCACAUAAAACAUUUUUCAGCAGGAGUGCCACACAGUGGGUGCUGUGACCUGCUGGGCCACUCACAACAGGUAUCCCGCAUCAUGUGGGUGCACUAUUGUUGAGGAUGCUGCUUGGUCUCUUGAUUGGAGUGGGGACUUCCUAGGUGCUUCACUGUCAAGUGCCACUCCUCUCUGUCAUUAACAGCCGCUCUGGGAAGUGCCACUUUCGGUCCAUGCAGAGAGACUAUUUUUAAGCAACUCCCAGCAAUUCUUGCCUGGAUUAGUGAGUUCGAUGAGAGCUGUAAAGAUGGAUUAUUAUUUUUUUUACUGCUCUCUCCUUCCUGUAUCUUUUAGCUGUCCUUCCUUUCUAAGCCCCUGUGACCACUCCUUUCUUGAUAUAUAUUUUUUGAAGCAUUACUACGAACAUGUGGGUUUUCUAAAAAUUAAUUCAGUGUAUAAUAAGUCUUUGCACUUGCUAUUUUUUUUUCUGGCACUCAGUGUCCCACUGGGGUCCAUUCAAUCUCCCCUGCGUGUCCUUUGAGAUGGUCUCUUUGGAUAUAAUACCAAUUCCUAUCUCUUUGAUUUAAGACAUCCUUGGCUGACCUUGUACUUCUUUGCUCACUUCGAAAAUGGAUACAGGUAACCCCUGUUUAAUGAACUAUGUGAGAAACUGAAGUAUUCUCGACUAGAUUAUCUGCUGAGUCAAUGCUCAAAGGGAAACAAUCUGUUUGUAGCUGAUCUACAGCCUUAAAUGUCUAACCUAAUGCUGCCACAUUUGUACUUGAAAGUCAUUUUUAAUGCAUCCCUGUCAUCAACAGUCAGAGGUAAAAUUAGCUGAGAAAAACAGAUGUACUCUUUCUUUGUUAACUGUUGGAUGGCAUGGAGUACUUCCCUUAAACCUGAGGAGGAAGCAGAGGGAAGCAUCAACUUUGAGAAAGCUGCAGUAAAUCAGGGGACCAAAGAAGGAAGGGUAGGAGAUGAGGAUGCACCAUGUUUUUUCCGGACACCAUUAAAUCAGCUCUGCUCUCAUUAGCUCUCCACCACGGUCUGCUUUCACCUACACAUGAGCUGGUACUGUGACACUCAGACACACACUCCGGGAAUGGUACUGGCAAGAGCUGUCAUUGUAGCACAGUGGAGUACUGUCUUAAAGUUGAAAUGAUUCCUUUCCUUAUUUUUUAUUUGAUCUACCAUUACCUGCCUACAAUGCCCCUUUCUCCCGGGAGCAGGAAACAUUUCACUUUUUAUCCACUCUAAUCUGAUUAAUGAACCCAAAGCAAAAUUUCACACUUGAGUACUCUCUUUACAAAGGAAUAGAAUAUUUUUCUUAAUAUCAGAAAUAAAAGGAGGAAAGAAAUAAAUUAUCUGGUACUGACUUCAAGAAACUAUAUUUGUUGUUGCUGCUUUCUAGAAUGGAUUCUCAUUGUAGCCUAGUCUGGCCUUAAACUUUCCACAUAGCUGAGGCUGGCCUUGAACUUCUGAAUCCACCUGCUUCCAUGUCCAUAGUGCCGGAAUUACAGGCAUGUACCACACUGCCUCAAAGCAAGUAUCUUUAAGCAAGCAGUAAUACAGAUGGACACAGGGGCAUGAUAUGUACUAAUGGGUCCUCUGCUCCUAUGAUAGCACGGUGAGAGAGAGCAGAGGAAUCCUUAAGAGCUUUGCUGUAUGGUAAGAUGGCAUUGCUGCAGCCUCACAGAAGCUGUCAGCAUCUGCUCUCAUUAUAGUGAAAGAACGAGGAAAACCCUACUGAGUAUCACACCUCUGGAAUACAUAUUAAAGCUAGUUAAUUUAGAAAAAUCCGUUUACCAUGGAAGGCAAGAAAAAGGAGGUUAGGAGAACACUUCUAUACUCGUCUCCAGAAUAGACUCCAGUUUGGUGACAUCAUGAAAUUAGCUCUUUAAGCAUGUCACAAGAUAACUGCUAACAGUGUCAACGGAGAACAUGCUAAAACCUACAAUAGUUUACUUCCUAAAAAAAUAAUGUGGGUGGGGAAAUGGUGCAGCAGGUUUAUAAAGACUUAGCCACUAAUCCUGAGGACCCAAGCUCCAUCCUCAGAGCCAAUGAGGUAGAAGGAGAGAGCUGAUUUCCCCUGACUUUCCCUGUAGUUGUGCAGGAAGGGAGAGGGAGGAGGAAGAGGGAAGAGGGAGAGGGAGGAGGGAGAGGGAAGAGGGAGAGGGAGGAGGAAGAGGGAAAGGGAGGAGGGAGGAGGAAGAGGGAGAGGGAGGAGGAAGAGGGAGAGGGAGAGGGAGGAGGAAGAGGGAGAGGGAGAGGGAGGAAGAAGAGGGAGAGGGAAAGAAAAUAGAACAGUCAAACAAACUUCAGUGGUACCAAGCAGGGGGACUUUAGGCUUGGUGAAUGGAGAUUCUGGGCAGAAGCUAUAGGCACCACCUAGGCUCACUACAAAUCCCAUGGGUCCCAAACUGUUCUGAGGUCAAGACCCAAUUUUCUUCAUUCUAACUCUUUAUCCUCAAACAGUGCUUUGCAUAAGCAUGCCUCACCACCUAAACUUGGGAAAUCUGGUCUGUUUUAGAAACCAGAAUAUUUGCUAUUCUUUGCUGUUUGAAUCUGUGGUAUUUGUGCAUGAUGCUUGUAUGUGGCACAUAUGCUUACCUGUGUGUGUGUGUGUGUGUGUGUGUGUGUGUGUGUGUGUGUGUGUAGGACAGAGGUAAAUACUAGAUGUCUUCCUUAAUUGUUUUCUAGCUCUUUAAAAACAAUUUAAGACAGGGUCUGUCACUGAAUCUGGAGCUCAAUAACCUGGCUAUCUUGGUUGGCUGGCAGCCCCAGGAAGCAGCCUGUCACUGACUCUCCAACAGUGGUGUUCAUAUGUGGACUUUUAUGUGAUGCUGGGGCUUGAACCCAGAUCUUGUGUUAAGCUGAGCCAACUCCCUAGCUCUCAUCACAUUCAUAUUUGAUUCCUUUACUUCCCUUCCCUUCUGAUUAGAUUCCAUAGAGAGGCUCUGAAAAUUAUAGAGGCAUUAUUUGAUUUACUCAUAUUUAUUUUUGGUUUGUGAUGGGGUCUCACUCCAUACUGCAGGUAUGAUAGAAUGUUCCAUGUAGCCUAGGCUAGCCUUAAAAGAAAAAUAUUAAAUUCAAUUUCUCAUCAGUUGGCCUGUGUCAGCCAACUAAACACAGUGAUCAUUUGGUGUGCACAUCCCUGCUGUUUUCAUAACUUUAGAGCACUUUUUUUUUUGAUGCAAAAGUGUGAUAAAGCUUCUUCUGAACUACAGGUUAGCCUUGGAACUUGCUAUGUAGCCAAAUACAGCUCUGAACUUUUGAGCCUCGUGCCUCCACCGCCUAAAAACCAGGAUUACAGGUGUGCACCACCACGCCUGGCUUAGGAAAUAAUUGGACAGAAUCUAUUUUGCCAAUGAGGGAAUGUCAAGAACACAGUGAUUUUGAACGCUAUUUUUCUCUGGAUUUGAACUUGUCUAAAAUGAGCUCAAGAUUUAUAGCCAAGCUAUCGUGAGAGAUUGGGUAACUUUUCUAUGGAACAUACUUCCCAUAUAUUUCCAAGGGUAUUGGUUUAUAGAAGAAAAUGAGGGACUUGGUGCACACGGGUGCAGUCUCUUUUGUUCCCAGAAGAGUGCUUUAUUGAAUCUCCAAAACUUAGAACUUCCAUAUCAAGUAACUACUCAUGGGAGUUGGUAUUGGUUCCUUUAGUUCUUUGGGUGAGGGGCCACAAAGUACAUAAUGAAGAUCUUUGUUACAGCCACCAAAGAGAAUCUGAGCAUGGUAGCUAGACAAGAGCCUGUCUCCAAGUACACAGAGGACAAAGCGGUUGGGGCGUAUAUCUGCAGAAUGAAUUAUAUGGGUGUGGUGACCACUGAGCCGGGAGCCCUGUCGUUAAUUUCCCACAGACCAAAAGCUCACUAGGGCCUUGUAAGCAUUUUGGUGGACAUCAGUAACAUCUGACUCUGCUCAAACCUGUCUCUGCCGGCCCACUCCCCCACACCCCACCCCGGCACUACAAGGCCAUGUGUGAUGAAAAUAUGGCUUCUGUUUUCCCUUCCAGCCUCAACAAGCCUCUUUACUCUUGUUACACUAUAAUGAACAACAUUCUAACUGUCUCCCUCUGCCAACCUUCCAGCUCUCUCCUGGGUUACUUACUCAUCCUCUUCCCCAGCACCUGUUUUGCCAAAUGCCAGGGUACCACGAGUAGCUGUGUACCUGGUACAGUGCUUAGAACCUUCCUCCAGGAAGCCUUCCUUGACAACAUCCCUCCUCUAGUAGCCUUCUGUUUCCAUAGCAACCAGCACUCUUCUCUUAGAACAUACUGUCCAAUUGUAUUAAUGAAGAAUCACUUCAGUACAAAACUGACCAUGGGCACAUUAUAUAUCUUAUAGAUAGAUUUAAAAAAAAAAGAUAAACUGAGAUGAAGAAAAAAGAAAUUAGAAUUAUGGCUGAAUACCUCAAGCAAUACUACUUAAGAUGCUAGCUGCUUUUUAUAGUCAUACACAUCCCUUCUGCUAUCAGCUUUUAAAUUGGUAAUACUGACAGCAGGUUCCAGCAGGGGCACAACUGUGUCUAAGGGUACAGAGUACACUGCAGGGAGUCAAUGCCUAGAGUUGCUAUGAGUCUAUUUAGGAGAUUAUUUUUUAGUGUGUGGUCUAUGUAUAUAUGCUCCUAUGUGUGCAGAGGCCAGAGGUUGAUGUCAAAUGUCUUUCUUUAUAUGUUUCUAUAUAUGUCUAUAUACUAUGUCUAUAUAUGUUUCGAUAUAUGUCUCCAUAUGUUUUGAGCAAGAGUCUCUCUCUGAUCCUGGAGUUCAACAUUUCUGCUCAACUGGCUCAUCAGCAAGCCCAGGGAUGCUUUGUUUCCAGAGCUGGGAUUACAGAGGUGCACUUCGAUGGCCAGCUUUUUGAGAUCUGAUUCAGGUCCUAUGGCUGUUCAGCAAGUACCUUACCCUCUAAGCCAUCUCAGCUCCAUGUGCCUCCUAUGUAAGGAAGCCUGAAAUAAAGUAGAGUGCUGUGAUUAAAGGCUUGCUCUACCACAUCUGAGGAACAUCAAAGCAGGCUAUGGAAAUGUAGAAACACAAACAGUGUGGACUGGAAUGCGCUGGGUUGAUUUAGACACCUGAAGGAUGAAGCAGCAGCUGACAAACUCCACACAAGCCCAUGACUUCCUCAAACUCCAGUGUGAGGAAACUAGUUGAGACCAGCUUUAUACACUGCUUAAUUUUUAUCACCCAGACCAGCAGAACUGAUGUUAAAACGAAGCUCAAGGCAAUAGGACAGGAUGGUGCAGAUUGAGUUUCUGUUCAUUAUCAGGACCACCCAGGAAUCCACCUGGGACUGUCCAUGACUGAGCAGGGGAGUCUUGCCCUGCAGAUGGGUGUCUCCUCCCACAGGCUGAAGGGAAGGGGAGCGCCCAUCUCUCCCUGCUUCCUGUUGGUGGAUGCAGUGUGACCCUCUGUCCACUCCUGCUGUCCUGUACCAUACCAGGAUGGACUGUACCCUCCAAUCAUGAGACAAAAUAAACCUUAAAUACUUAA